rnacentral:rRNA from 1 species
GAAACAGUUGCUAAGACUGGAUAGGAAAUUAAAAGGCAUCUUUUAAUUUUUAAAAGACCUUUUUCGGAAGGUAUGCUUAAAGAGGGGCUUGCGCCACAUUAGUUAGUUGGUAAGGUAAAGGCUUACCAAGACGAUGAUGUGUAGCUGGACUGAGAGGUUGAACAGCCACAUUGGGACUGAGACACGGCCCAAACUCCUACGGGAGGCAGCAGUAAGGAAUUUUUGGCAAUGGAGGAAACUCUGACCGAGCGACGCCGCGUGAACAAUGAAGUACUUCGGUAUGUAAAGUUCUUUUAUUGAAAAAGAAAAAAUAGUGGAAAAACUAUCUUGACAUUAUUCAAUGAAUAAGCCCCGGCUAAUUAUGUGCCAGCAGCCGCGGUAAUACAUAAGGGGCGAGCGUUAUCCGGAAUUAUUGGGCGUAAAGGGUGCGUAGGCGGUUUGAUAAGUCUAUAGUUUAAUUGCAGUGCUUAACGCUGUACCGCUAUAGAAACUGUCUGACUAGAGUUAGAUAGAGGCAAGCGGAAUUCCAUGUGUAGCGGUAAAAUGCGUAAAUAUAUGGAGGAACACCAGAGGCGUAGGCGGCUUGCUGGGUCUUAACUGACGCUGAGGCACGAAAGCGUGGGGAGCAAACAGGAUUAGAUACCCUGGUAGUCCACGCCGUAAACGAUGAGUACUAAGUGUCGGGUUUUGGCUCGGUACUGAAGUUAACACAUUAAGUACUCCGCCUGAGUAGUACGUACGCAAGUAUGAAACUUAAAGGAAUUGACGGGACCCCGCACAAGCGGUGGAUCAUGUUGUUUAAUUUGAAGAUACACGAAAAACCUUACCAGGUCUUGACAUAAUUUUGCGACAUUAUAGAAAUAUAAUGAAGGUUAUCAGAAUUACAGGUGGUGCAUGGUUGUCGUCAGCUCGUGUCGUGAGAUGUUAGGUUAAGUCCUAAAACGAGCGCAACCCUUGUCGUUAGUUGCGACCACAUAAUGGUGAGCACUUUAGCGAGACUGCCAAUGAAAAAUUGGAGGAAGGUGAGGAUUACGUCAAAUCAUCAUGCCCCUUAUGAUCUGGGCUACAAACGUGAUACAAUGGCUUUUACAAAGAGUAGCUACAACGUGAGUUUUUAGCCAAUCUCAAAAAAACAGUCUCAGUUCGGAUUGAAGUCUGCAACUCGACUUCAUGAAGUUGGAAUCGCUAGUAAUCGCGAAUCAGCAUGUCGCGGUGAAUACGUUCUCGGGGUUUGUACACACCGCCCGUCA